rnacentral:rRNA from 1 species
CCUACGGGAGGCAGCAGUGAGGAAUAUUGGUCAAUGGACGCAAGUCUGAACCAGCCAUGCCGCGUGCAGGAAGACGGCUCUAUGAGUUGUAAACUGCUUUUGUACGAGGGUAAACGCAGAUACGCGUAUCUGUCUGAAAGUAUCGUAAGAAUAAGGAUCGGCUAACUCCGUGCCAGCAGCCGCGGUAAUACGGAGGAUUCAAGCGUUAUCCGGAUUUAUUGGGUUUAAAGGGUGCGGAGGCGGUCUGUUAAGUCAGCGGUCAAAGCCCGGGGCUCAAACCCGGCCCGGCGUUUGAAACGGGCAGUCUCGAGUUGGAGAGAGGUAUGCGGAAUGCGCGGUGUAGCGGUGAAAUGCAUAGAUAUCGUGCAGAACUCCGAUUGCGAAGGCAGCAUGCCGGCUCCACACUGACGCUGAGGCCCGAAGGCGUGGGGAGCAAACAGGAUUAGAUACCCUGGUAGUC